rnacentral:lncRNA from 1 species
CCACUUCCUCUUCAUCUUGGCCAUGGGUACUUGAGAGGAGCAACCGAGUCCCUCAUUCCUUAUCUAGCCAAGUGAUCACACUUCUGAAAAUCAAUUCUGCACUGAGGUGCCAUCUUCAGAAAAGGCUUAUUUUUUAACCCCAAAGGGACACAUUUAGGAAGGCAGCCUCUCUUCUGCACUGAGAACUAUGGAGAACACAGCUGAAUCCUCCACCCUGGGGCAGCCAGCCACAUCCUGGAUCUGGGACCAAGACUGUGAUUCAAACAACUAUACAUUGUCCACAUUGCCUUUGCCCCAGUUUCACUUUGUAAUUUCUGCGAAUUCAAGAUGGAGAGUCCAAUUUAAGAAAAUGCAUGGUCCCAAGGCUCCCACACGUGCAGCAGGACUCAUCUCGACCUUUUUGUGAUUCUGAAGAUGUGGAGUCCACAUGGAAGCAUCACAUGGACUCAUAAUUAUUGAUCCCUGGGGACUCAGACUAUUUCAGCAGGAAUAAAAGACAAUGGAUAUGGUGUGGGCA